CUCUCAGGCUACAGAUACAGGAUCCAGUACAUAAUGCUCAAAGCAUAAACCCAGAUCAAAUCUCGCUGCAGCAGCAGUAUACAAAGGAGUAGAGAAAAAGCAUGCUGACCGUGCAUUGAAGAGAAGGCACUCGAAAGCCCCUGUUUACCCUUGUUUCAGGCACAAGUACAGUUCUUAGUGCAUGAGUGAUGCAAAAAUAACUGGAGGAUUGCAUCAAGCAUUCAUCCACGGCAAUUUAAAUAAAGAUGAGCUGACGUGAUGGAGAUUAACUGCACUGUAAGAAUGCCUGCAGUGCUCAGCAGAAUGAGGGGCAAGGGAGAAAAAGGACAAGGGGGGGAGUUACACUUCUAGCAAAAGGACAUAUCACUUAGUCCAGCAAAUCAGCAUGCCCAAAAUUUCAUAUUACUGACGUAGAUCUGGCUCUGGCAUGUCUGCAUCAUGCUGUGUAGGCAUUAGGUGCUCUGCAUGUUUAACAUGUGUCUGUAGUCCAGGAGGAAAAUUCUUUCAGUAUAUGAAAGGGAGCUACAGGAAGAAGGGGACAGACUCCUUAGCAAGAUCUGUGAAAGCCAGGGAGAAUUCGGUCAGGCUCUGAAGAAUGAGGAGCUUCCACAGCUGCUGCCCUCUAGCCUUUAUGGACAUCAGAGAGACUGCACGGCCCUAGUUGUCUCACAGAAGUCUGUCCCUCCUGCCCUUUAAUCAUCCUUGAUCCUCUCUGAACUUCCUCCUGUAUGGCUGCAUUCUUUAUUGGUAUGCACCCGGAGCUAAAUACAGCGUAAAGAGUGCAGAACAGAGCUGUGUUGUAAUGGGUACUCAUUAAAAAUAAAACCCUCUGUCUUUGGACUUCGGUAACCACUGUGUAGCAGAGUUGAUUUACAAAGUUUAUCUGAAAAAGCAAAAUGCACUAUUAUUCAUUUGCAGAUAAAAGUCUGAAAUCUUCUACCUCUAAUUCCUAGAAAAGAGAGGAACAAAAGUAAACUGCCUUGAGUUGCUGCUUGUACCUCAGUUCCACAGGAUGGCAUCUGCCUCUCAGGACACACACAGACCCCUCGGAGUGCUCUGCAGUAUCUCCUGAUGCCUGGCUUGUCCCGCUCGCUCCUUCUAACAUCGCACUGGUCCUGUGCUGUGCAACUGGCCACUCUGACAGCUUUCAUCAUGCCAGAGUUUAUGGCAACUGUAAAUCUAUUAAGCCACAAUUUGCACUUAAUAAAACGAAACAGCAAGCAGUUAAACGAAAGCUCGAUCCUAAACGGGAGAACAUUUUUCAGGAAAAGUCAUUGAGGCUGCCACUGCUACUGCUGCCUGCCUGCCCGCCUUUGAGAAAUUCAAUCGUGCUGACUGAGGGAACCUGGGGAGAGCUGGCUACUCCUUCCUUUGGUUCAUAAUGGCCCCGUAGACCAUUUAAUCAUCCGCGGAUGACACAAAGGCCACGCUGUGAGCACCGGAUGUGGAGGAAUGCACUUAUCAGAUGCUUCCUGCCCGUGAGUGGGCACGGGUUCAGGCUCAUCCCCAUGUCCCUGUGCUUCAGAGUGUCCCUGCUGUCAGAGCAGAGAGCAGAGCAGAGGGCUGCUGCUGCUCCUCCUGAGUGCUUUUGUUUUCUUACAUCAGGGUGUGCACAAGCGGUGCUUUGGGAGCCGAGCUCAGAGUGUGGAGGGAAGGCCUUGUGCUGCAGGUUUCAGACAGGCCUGGAGGCACCCGCCCUGAGAAGCACUGGGUGCAGUCUUAGCAGGAGGAGAGGGGCACUGGGAGACAAAGCAGAGACUUACUUGCUCUUGUGAAACAGAUUUCUCUGUUGAUGUUAAAAUGACUUCCUCCAUGUCCACGGUUUCACCUCCACUCCAUAUUGUGUCAUUUCUGGGUGACCAAAUGGCUGACCCUGGUUUGUAGGUGAAUAGUCUGGUCAGAAACCGUAUGCCCAGUUUCAUUAACUAGAGAAAAAAAGCCCCAGCCAGGGGAGGCAAUGAGAGCUUGAAAAUUCGAUCCAUCGUACUAAUUGGUUUGGAAUAUUAGCCUUUAGUUUAGAUUGGAAAUCCAUUUCCUCCUGAAUACAGGCAAUUUGUUGACAGCUCGGGCCAUACAUGUAACCAUGUGAAGCUUGACAUGCCAUCCUCAACCCCGAGCCCACGAACGCUGGCAAACACAUUCAAAAUAGCUACAAGAGCUGGUAACUUCUGAGAGGAUGCCUCUGGACACAGAUCUGUGCCCAUUCUUACGAGCAUUCCUCCCGACAAAGUUUUAGGAUUUGCAAUUCAAAAAAGCCACUCGCUGCUGGCUAAUGCCUGCCAAUUAAGUUCAGCCCAUUGAAUCAACAGUUUCCUGUUACCUGUUCCUUCAGGUAGAACAGCGGCUGAUACCCCUGCCCUUUCCCAGGCUUCUGUGCAGGGACCUUUCCUGCCCGAAAACAGUGGGGACACCUGUUUUCUGGGCAGGGAAGGCCAGCACCUGAAAUCCUAGGAAUGGUCCCGCUAUUGAAAGCAGGGGGCUUGAUAAGGCAGCCACUGUGAUAGGCAGCGGAAAUUUGAUGAUGAAAGGAGAUGCCUAAUAGAUUAAUCUGGUGUGAUUUGCCAAAACACAGGGUUUUCUGGAAGAUUAUCCACACUCGCAAUAGGAAGCCCUUUGUUUUGUGAAAGUCCCCACUUAUCAUGGUAUUCUUUAUCUCAACAAGAAACAUAAUGGUUUACUUGUUUACAUGCAUAACAGAUAUAUUCAGAGCUGGGCUUAGGAACUGUGAACUCCUUUUCAUUUGAAACAUUUCCAGCAGGCAGGUUAUUAGCUGAGGGGGAACAAGCAGUUGGACACACAUAAAAUUUAAAUCUGCCUUGCUUAGAUUGGCAAAAAUGAAUGUUAUUUCAUCCACCGGGAAAAUGUUUUACUUCCUGCUCAAAUACUUUUGGAAGAAAAUCACAAGCUCAUUUGUAGCCAUCAUAUAUGUAUGUAUAUAUUUUUUUAGAGUUAAGUGUUAUGUCUACAGAAACGUAUUUGUUACUGUACACCGGUUAUUUUCCACUAAUAUUAAUUAUUUUAUUAGCUUGUCUUUACUUCUUCAAUUUUACUUUGCUUACUAUAAAAUGUGACUGAUGGCUUUACAUUAUUUAUACUGAAUGUGUGGCUGGAAUCUAG
rnacentral:lncRNA from 1 species